rnacentral:rRNA from 1 species
UCUGCUGUUAAAAGUGGAGCUUAACUCCAUCGUGGCAGUGGAAACUGUUGGGCUACAGUGUGGUAGGGGCAGAGGGAAUUCCCGGUGUAGCGGUCAAAUGCGUAGAUAUCGGGAAGAACACCAGUGGCGAAGGCGCUCUGCUGGGCCAUAACUGACGCCCAUGGACGAAAGCCAGGGGAGCGAAAGGGAUUAGAUACCCCUGUAGUCCUGGCCGUAAACGAUGAACACUAGGUGUCGGGGGAAUCGACCCCCUCGGUGUCGUAGCCAACGCGUUAAGUGUUCCGCCUGGGGAGUACGCACGCAAGUGUGAAACUCAAAGGAAUUGACGGGGGCCCGCACAAGCGGUGGAGUAUGUGGUUUAAUUCAAUGCAACGCGAAGAACCUUACCAGGGUUUGACAUCCUGCGAAUCUCCUGGAAACGGGAGAGUGCCUUCGGGAACGCAGUGACAGGUGGUGCAUGGCUGUCGUCAGCUCGUGUCGUGAGAUGUUGGGUUAAGUCCCGCAACGAGCGCAACCCACGUCUUUAGUUGCCAGCAUUCAGUUGGGCACUCUAGAGAGACCGCCGGUGAUAAACCGGAGGAAGGUGUGGAUGACGUCAAGUCAUCAUGCCCCUUACAUCCUGGGCUACACACGUACUACAAUGCUACGGACAAAGGGCAGCAAACUCGCGAGAGCUAGCAAAUCCCAUAAACCGUGGCUCAGUUCAGAUCGUAGGCUGCAACUCGCCUACGUGAAGGAGGAAUCGCUAGUAAUCGCAGGUCAGCAUACUGCGGUGAAUACGUUCCCGGGCCUUGUACACACCGCCCGUCACACCAUGGAAGUUGGCCCCGCCCGAAGCCGUUACUCCACCCUUGGUGGAGGAGACGUCGAAGGUGGGCUGAUGACUGGGUGAAGUCCUAACAA